rnacentral:sRNA from 1 species
GCGGCCGCGCGGCUGACUGCGACUCGGGAGCUCCGGGAGCGGCCCGCGCAGUGAUUGCUGCCUUGACCGUCCCUGCUCUUGAAGAGCACCAGCGAAAGCAGCCAGUCUGAGAUAUUGACACUACAGAAAAAACUGACAGCUUACUCCUUGUAUUGAUUCUACUCUUCUCUACAAAUAUAGACUCCGUUCCCUACCACAGCCUUGCCUCAGAAUUCACUGUGCUGAGGAGCUAACAGGAUCCUGACAUUUAAUUGUCUCUGCCUGAGCAUUCUGUCAACUUUGGAACUUGUAUGAGUAGAGACGGGGUUUCACCGUUUUAGACAGGAGGGUCUCGAUCUCCAGACGUCGUGAUCCUCCUGCCUUGGCCUCCCAAAAUGCUGGGAUUACAGGCAUGAGCCACCGCACCUGGCCCAACAAGCAUUCUUUUCACAACAUAUUUAGUGCCCUGUUUGCCUCAUUUUUGUGCUUAU